rnacentral:rRNA from 1 species
GACGAACGCUGGCGGCGUGCUUAACACAUGCAAGUCGAACGGAAAGGCCCUGCUUUUGUGGGGUGCUCGAGUGGCGAACGGGUGAGUAACACGUGAGUAACCUGCCCUUGACUUUGGGAUAACUUCAGGAAACUGGGGCUAAUACCGGAUAGGAGCUCCUGCUGCAUGGUGGGGGUUGGAAAGUUUCGGCGGUUGGGGAUGGACUCGCGGCUUAUCAGCUUGUUGGUGGGGUAGUGGCUUACCAAGGCUUUGACGGGUAGCCGGCCAGGGAGGGUGACCGGGCACAUUGGGACUGGGGAACGGCCCAGAUUCCGACCGGAGGCAACAGGGGGGGAUAUUGCACAAAGGGCGGAAGGCCUGUGCAAGAACGCCGGGUGCGGGAUGACGGCCUUCGGGUGGUAAACCGCUUUCGCCUGGGACGAAGCGUGAGUGACGGUAAUGGGUAGAGAAGCACCGGCUAACUACGUG